rnacentral:rRNA from 1 species
UUGCCCUACGGGAGGCAGCAGUGGGGAAUUUUGGACAAUGGGCGCAAGCCUGAUCCAGCUAUUCCGCGUGUGGGAUGAAGGCCCUCGGGUUGUAAACCACUUUUGUAGAGAACGAAAAGACACCUUCGAAUAAAGGGUGUUGCUGACGGUACUCUAAGAAUAAGCACCGGCUAACUACGUGCCAGCAGCCGCGGUAAUACGUAGGGUGCGAGCGUUAAUCGGAAUUACUGGGUGUAAAGGGUGCGCAGGCGGUUGAGCAAAGCAGAUGUGAAAUCGCCGAGCUUAACUCGGG